AUGAUGAUGUCACUGACUCUACUGCUGGCCACCCUGGGGCUCCUUGUUCAGGGUUCAUCAGGACAAGUCACUGUGACUCAGUCUCCUGGAUCUCAGUCUGUUGUUCCAGGACAGACUGUCUCCAUCAGAUGUAAAACCAGUCAUAGUACCAGCUACCUCAACUGGUACCUUCAGAAACCUGGAGAAGCUACUAAACUCCUGAUUUAUUAUGCUACAAACCUUCAGCCUGGAGUUUCUGAUCUUUUUAGUGGAAGUGGAUCUGGGACUGACUACACUCUGACCAUCAGUGGAGUUCAGGCUGAAGAUUCAGGAGUUUAUUACUGUCAGAGUAAACACUAUAUCAACAGUCAGUAUGUGUUCACACAGUGA